GGGGAUGCCGGGCUUCGAAAGGGAAAAUUACUGUGCGUGCAGAACGAGGCCGAUCAACAACCUCGAAAACAGUUGAUCGAUUACAAGUGCAAACUUGUUUACAAAAGCGCAGAACGCUUUCCGCGUUCCGGCGCUCGCUCUUGCUUAAAAAUUAGCAUUAGCCAUCCGGCCACUGAUGCCUGAUAGGUAAAGCCGGGUGUUAUAUUAUCGGGCUUGGCUCUGCAGUAAUCCUGGGCUGUUCAGCUAAAUUAACAGGAUAGGAAUAUUUGCAAUUCCGUUUCUCUCUGAUCAGAUAUUCUGAAAAACUCUAUAGAGAAACUAUUUCUGUAGAAACGUAUAGUCAAAAUUUUUCUUUGACGUGGGUUCGACUCCCACCAUCUCCACAA
rfam:Parcubacteria bacterium GW2011_GWA2_40_8 TT22_C0035, whole genome shotgun sequence.